GUUAACUCUGGACUGCAGAGCUCACCUUCGCUUUUGUCUCAGCUUUUCGUUUGUAGCGGUUACGAAGAGUAUAAGAAAAUUGAGAAAGAAUAAUAUUAGAGUUAGAAAUUACCUCCUGGUCUUGUCCCUCAGUUGUUGUCGCCCUUUGAGUUGUCUCAGCAAUUUAUUCCAAAUGUAGCAGUGUCAGACCGGAGCCAACCGGUUUCUGGGGUCUGACACCAAAGGUUAAACUUUAAAUUUAGAAAAGGACGGAGAGGGACCUGCCGGGACUUAACGGACAUUUUCAUUGCCCUGUGACCUUGCCACGGAUGGUCUCAGGGGCUUGACCUAUCUCACCCCUUGCUGCUUAUCUACAUGGUCGGGAGAAGAAUUUAAAUAGUUGGACUGGAUUUAACCAGGGAUGAGACUUUCCCAGGUGGCUGAGGUAUGAUUGAAGAAAAGAUGGUUCCAGGUGGCAAAGAACUGAGAGGUCCAGGUGGUGGAUGGAUCAUCCAAUGGAUGCUGAAGCACUGAGAAUGGUGCUAUUAUGGCUUCCAGUUCCAGAGGAGGACACCAAGGCUUCGAGAUGCUAAGUGACAUCCUAAGGUGACACAGUGGUCAGCUGUGGAGCUGAGAUACAAAUCCAGGUGAUCUGAUGUCUACACUUUGCCCUGCUGUGUUCUCUCCUCUCCAGGAGUUUCUCAUUGUGCGAAUGUAGCGUUGGUAAAAAUCUACCUCAUUCUUCCCUUAAUCUGUAUUUCUUUGGUUUUUAGUAGGGAUUAAUAUUUGAACAAGACACUUUUAACGUAAGAAUCAGGAAGUGGAAGGUAGGGUCAUUUAUACAUUUGGAAAAUGUACCCACAGACACAGGGUAAACAUAUUUUAAAUUAGUAUUUAGACAGGGUGAAACUGAGUGAAGACGUUCAAUUUUUCAAUUCAAGAAGCCGCAUCAGUAUCACCCAGGAACUAGCUUGAAAUGCAGAGUUUUGGGCUUCAACCCAGACCUACUAAAGCAGAAACUCUGAAAGAGGGAGGUGCCCAGCAAUCUGGGCACACUCAAGUCUGAGAACUUCUGCUGGAGGGAAUGCUCAUGUGAGUUUGGUCACAGCCGUAGUCUGGACAUUGUAAAGAAUAGACAUAUGCUCCUUAGUACUGCUGCCUGUGUAUAGGUAAAUUCAUUUUCCUACUCAAAAUACAUCCUCCUGGAGGGCCUGGCCAUGUGCAUCUUUAAAUCAUGUAAGCCUCUCCCUUCAAGGGUUGGUCUAAGACCAGAGCAUUAGCCUCAUGUAGGAGCUUGUUAAACAUGCAGUCUUGAUCCCAUGCCAGACUUACUGAACCAGAAUCUGCAUUUCAACAAGGUCCCUUGACUAUGAUUCGUGAAAACGAAUUGUGCACUUGGGUAGUGGAAGUCCUCAUAGAGGAGUACAAGCAUUACAGAUGUGAGUA